rnacentral:rRNA from 1 species
GCAGCGAACGCGAUAAGUGUGCCGCCUGGGGAGUACGGCCGCAAGGCUAAAACUCAAAGAAAUUGACGGGGGCCCGCACAAGCGGAGGAGCAUGUGGCUCAAUUCGAUGCUACGCGAAGAACCUUACCAGGGCUUGACAUCCUGCUGACCCGAUAGAAAUAUUGGGGUGCCCUUUUUGGGAAAGCAGAGACAGGUGGUGCAUGGUUGUCGUCAGCUCGUGUCGUGAGAUGUUGGGUUAAGUCCCGCAACGAGCGCAACCCCUGUUGUUAGUUGCUAACACGUAGAGGUGAGCACUCUAACGAGACUGCCGGUGAUAAAUCGGAGGAAGGUGGGGACGACGUCAAAUCAUCAUGCCCCUUAUGUCCUGGGCUACACACGUACUACAAUGGCCGUAAACAGAGGGAAGCAAGCCGGCGACGGUGAGCGAAACCCAAAAAGCGGUCCCAGUUCGGAUUGCAGGCUGAAACCCGCCUGCAUGAAGUCGGAAUUGCUAGUAAUCGCGAAUCAGCAUGUCGCGGUGAAUACGUUCCCGGGCCUUGUACACACCGCCCGUCACACCAUGAGAGUCAGGAACACCCGAAGCCUGUGAGCUAACACGCAAGUGAGGCAGCAGUCGAAGGUGGGCCCGAUGAUUGGGGUGAAGUCGUAACAAGGUAGCCGUA